CUGCUGCUAUUCAACAUGGAAUCUGCCUGCCAAUCUGCCUGCCAACCUGCGUGCCAAUCUGCCUGCCAACCUGCGUGCCAAUCUGCCAACCAGAUGAGUAUCCUAUUCCUCCACCUGCCCAUGCUGUCUUCCUUCUCUAUACUCAUUGCCACCUUCUAACUCUAUAAUCUUUUCAAUAUGUACAGGAAUCUGCUCAAUCCAUGUCUGUAUCUUCUCUUGUGGCAGAUUCUUCCAUGCCUGCUCCCAUACUCUAACAGCUUCUGUACAGUUCUUAGAAGCUCCUUUUCUUGUUGUUCUACACUUCAUCCAGAGCCAAGCUGCCUCAAUUGCAUUGAGAUCAGGUGAAUUCCCACACCAAAGCAGCUGUUGAAUCCCAUGAAUAUUGUACAUAUAAUGUUGGAUAUAGUGAUUGUGUGAAGGGGCCUUAUCCUCUUGCACAAUAGUAUUUGGAUGAUUGAUUUGACACUCUUUUGCAAAGGGAAAUAGCUUUGCUCCCAUUCUUGCCUCUUUAUAGGUUCCAUUUCAGCAUUUAAAGUCUCAAUAUACUCAAGGAAUUGAGCACACUCCUGCAAGGUUUCUCUGGCCCAACAAUGAAAUGGGUUCUUCUUAUUGUAUGAGAAGCAGGCUCAGAACAUGAAUUCAGAUGAUCUCUUUCAUCAUUCACAUAUACAGCUUCAAGAAUAGAUCUCAUGAGAUGCACACCAUAUUCUAUAUUCAUCUCAUUGAUGAAGAAGAAUAACAGAGGUUUCAUCUGACCAGAUAACAUUCUUUCAAUCCUCCAAGAUCCAAUCUUUAUGCUUCAGACAGAAUUGAAGUCAAUCUAGUCACAUCUUCUUGGUGAGUUCUGGCUUCUGUGUAGGCUUUGUUUUUCACAGGUCUGCUUUGCAAAGAAUCCUUCAUAUAGUCAUAGAAGAUAUCUCAAUUCCUUCAUUACUGAAUUCAUUGGCAAGAUCAGUACAUGUCUUUUCUCAUCCAUAUUGAUCACAUCAAACCUUUGCAAGAAUAGUGUCCUUAAUACUAUCAUUUCUCUGAGUUGGUCAGCCAGAUUUGGGGGCAUCUCAAAGCCAUUCAUUAUGAAGUAUAAUAUGAGACAGU
rnacentral:sRNA from 2 species